CUGAAAUCUGGUGGGGGGCAGAGGGGGGAGCCUUUUCUUCCUGUUACCCAGCUCCCCUCACUCCUUUCCCAACCAAGAACACUGAGCUUUGGAGGGGAGAUUUAAAAGACCACGAGCCACAGUCCCUCUUGCUGUUUCAGCCGCACUCCUGCUGCUUCCCAGAGGGAUCUCAACUGCUUGGUGCCUGGGCCCAGGACCUCCCUGCAGUCCCAGUGGCCUCCUGGCCACUCUGUCCGACAUGGACCCCAGCCAGCUCACUUGCCAGGGCAGGGUGACCAAUCAGAAAAGUAACCCUGGGUCAGCAUCCAAUUCCAGGAGAGAAAAGUCAAGAGUUCCCCAGGCACAGGCCAGGCUCAAGACUGCAGAACAGCCCUAGCACUGCCUCCACUGGGCGCCCUCUCUCCAGGGAGGCAGCCAGGAUGGAAGAAUCCCUGACCUGAUAAUGACUGGGCCGUGUUCCCCAUGCCCCGUCCUCCAGGGUCUCCCUGCAGGCCCAGCCUGGUGGUUGCCAGUAUGAACCCCCAGCACAGGGCCGGAGGGACUCCCCCAGGCUGCCCCUGGGCUUCUGACCAAGUUCUCAUGGUCCCCUGGCCAAUGCUGUGACUGCGCUCUGCAGGCAAUAGCCCUCUGGCUUGACCCCAGCCUUCAGCAGGUCACUGGCAGCUGCCUCUCUGGGUGAGGAAGCGGGAGCCAGUCCCCAUGACUUCUGCCAAGCUCUCCGUUCUCGCUAUAUUGGGGCCUGGGAGCCCUGGCAGCGGGGAGAGGAUGGAGGAAGUGGGUGGUGCUGUCCCCACAUGCUGCUCCACGGAGGAGCAAGAACCCAAGAGAGGAGAGGGAGUCGGGAGCCUCAGAGCCCCAGCCUCCUCCCUGUAGGCUCCUCCGUGGUGAGUCUUCCCAAGGUGGACUGGAUGGUAGGGAAUUAGAAGGACUGGAUAUACUGCUGCUGCUAAGUUGCCUCAGUUGUGUCUGACUCUGUGCGACCACAUAGACGGCAGCCCACCAGGCUCCCCCGUCCCUGGGAUUCUCCAGGCAAGAACACUGGAGUGGGUUGCCAUUUCCUUCUCCAACGCAUGAAAGUGAAAAGUGAAAGUGAAGUCGCUCAGUUGUGUCCAACUCUUCGAGACCCGAUGGACUGCAGCCCACCAGGCUCCUCGGUCCAUGGGAUUCUCCAGGCAAGAGUACUGGAGUGGGGUGCCAUUGCCUUCUCCAACCCUCCCAUGG
ensembl:lncRNA